rnacentral:rRNA from 1 species
GUCUACAGCCAUGCUACCCUGAACAAGCCCGAUCUCGUCAGAUCUCGGAAGCUAAGCAAAGUCAGGCCUAGUUAGUACUUGGAUGGGAGACCACCUCAAAAGACCAAGUGCUGUAGGCA